rnacentral:rRNA from 1 species
UACGAAGGGGCUAGCGUUGCUCGGAAUCACUGGGCGUAAAGGGCGCGUAGGCGGUCAAUUCAAGUCGCUGUGAAAUCUCCGGGCUUAACUCGGAACGGUCAGCUGAUACUGCUUUGCUAGAGUGCAGGAAGGGGCAAUCGGAAUUCUUGGAUGUAGCGGUGAAAUGCGUAGAUAUCGAAGAGGAACACCUGAGGUGAAGACGGGUUGCUGGGCUGACACAUGACGCUGGAGGCGACGAAAGCUACGGGAGCAAACGG